UUAGAUAUCACAUACCCUGAUAUAAGCAGGUUUGUAAGAUGCCGCUGGUGUGUUGAAGCCUUUCCGUGCGUCAUUGCCAGGGAUCGCCCCUUCCGUUUCGCUCCUCCCGCUUCCGCAUUUGCCCUGUUUCUUUGCAGCUCUUGGAUCAUUCGUGUUGAUUAUCAUUUGUGACUGUUCCUGUAUCUAACCUUCCUCGGCGUAAUCUCGUGCCGGCCGCCGCUCUUGCGUGCACGCGAUCAGUGAAGACAUUCUAAGCUCUGGGAUGGCUCGUGAAUAAUUACUAUUCGUGGCUGCUCCUGCAUGUUCUCCUGUGUAAACUUGUGCUGGCUGCUGCGAUUGGGUGUGUGCGCUAUCGCAGUGACGUUGAAGGAGGAAUAUUUGGAUUUGGGACUAUGAUUAGCUGGCAACUAUUUAUGAUGAUGCUGCUGCUUUGUCUGUGAUUGUUCUACGAUGCAAUUUUAAAGCUUUUUGCAUCAACGUUGUGUGACGUUGGGGACAGAGUGGACGCUAAGGCGUCGGUUAAAGCCCGUCACAUAAAUGUAUAAUUGGGCCUUUUUUGGUUAAAUCUGUUUAUUCAUUUAUUUGUAUUUCUUAUGUUUUCUACCUGCUUUGGUUGUAAAUUGUCCUGCACCAUUAAUCUGAUCUUCAGGUGCAUUUCCCCAGUUGGCUGGACUUUUGAUCUUAAUGCAGGUAGCUUUUGUGGUUCCUUUGUUUAAUACUUAUUUAUUUUGAAUUAUUUUGUGGUAUUUAUGUAGUUUGGUAUUUGUUUAUUUGUAAGUAUUUGUUUUAUUUUGUUUAUUUGGUUGGUGUAUUGAAUUUCAUUUGUUUUCUUUAUGUACUUGCCCCAGUUACUUAUUUUGUAUGUGGUCUAGCAUUUGAUAAUAGCUGUGAGUUUGGAGGUACAUUUCUUCAUUCUGCUAAGACCUCAUUUCUGUAGCUGGGUUAUUUUGUGGUUUAGUAGUUUUCUUUGGAAAAUCUUUUCUUUGUUUAUUUUAUUUAGGUUUCUCAUACUAAAUCUUUUUUUUUGUUUGGUUCAUUAUUCCUUUGUUACAGGAGCCGAGGCUGCCGGCUGUCCAUUAGUAGGCCUCGAGUACGGUGGUGGGACUUCCGGAGUGCAGUGUGUUCACCAUUGAUGCCUGUGUGUGUAGUGUGGUGAGAGUGGAGCACCGGGUGUUUAAGGUUGCAGUGAUACCGGGGCUGUGUGCUCCUUAAUUAAUUUGGACUACCAUAGGCAUGCCUCGGUCUCCUUCAUAGUAACUCUUAGAUUUUCUAGCCUGAUGCCAUCGUACAUAAUUGAUUUUAAGAUUCCUGUUUUAAUAUAAUAAAGUUUUGUAUUUUUUGGUAUCCAUGUCUCAAGACCCCUUCUUGUGAAGCAGUGUUCCUGUGAGCUUUUUUUCAAUAAAAUUGAUUUAUAUUAUAUUAUAUUAUUUCCCUGUUCUACAGGGUGGCGUAGUCAGCUACAUUGUAAAAUGUUUUCCCUUUUGGGCCUACCACUACAUUCUGGCGUAGUCGGCAGGGCCGCUUCUCCAUAGUGGGACGAGACGUGGAUACUUUUGGUUAUUUGAGUGGAUGUUUAUCAUUGUGUAUGUUGAGUGUAUGUGAAUUAGUGGAACGUUGUGUUUUUGUGUUUGCUCUUUUUCUGUGUGUUUGCUCUUUUUCAGUUCACGUUGGAGACAAAGCAGCAGUGUCAUUGUGGUAGCUGGGAGCACUCCAGUAAAAUUUUCUUCGCUGAUUACCUGAAUUAAGGUCAUUGGAGCCGAGGCUGCCGGCUGUCCAUUAGUAGGCCUCGAGUACGGUGGUGGGACUUCCGGAGUGCAGUGUGUUCACCAUUGAUGCCUGUGUGUGUAGUGUGGUGAGAGUGGAGCACCGGGUGUUUAAGGUUGCAGUGAUACCGGGGCUGUGUGCUCCUUAAUUAAUUUGGACUACCAUAGGCAUGCCUCGGUCUCCUUCAUAGUAACUCUUAGAUUUUCUAGCCUGAUGCCAUCGUACAUAAUUGAUUUUAAGAUUCCUGUUUUAAUAUAAUAAAGUUUUGUAUUUUUUGGUA